rnacentral:rRNA from 1 species
UACAGAGGGUGCAAGCGUUAAUCGGAAUUACUGGACGUAAAGCGUGCGUAGACGGUUAUGUAAGUCGGGUGUGAAAGCCCCGGGCUCAACCUGGGAAUGCCAUUCGAGACUGCAUAGCUAGGGUGCGGAAGAGGGAAGCGGAAUUUCCGGUGUAGCGGUGAAAUGCGUAGAUAUCGGAAGGAACACCAGUGGCGAAAGCGGCUUCCUGGUCCAGCACCGACGUUCAGGCACGAAAGCGUGGGGAGCAAACAGG